ACGAACGCUGGCGGCGUGCCUAAUACAUGCAAGUCGAACGGCUUUUCUAUGGAAGCUUGCUUCCACUGAGAAGAUAGUGGCGAACGGGUGAGUAACACGUGGGUAACCUGCCCAUAAGAGGGGGAUAACAUCCGGAAACGGGUGCUAAUACCGCAUAGUUUUCUUGAUCGCAUGAUCGGGAAAGGAAAGACGGCCUUUGUGCUGUCGCUUAUGGAUGGACCCGCGGCGUAUUAGUUAGUUGGUGAGGUAACGGCUCACCAAGACGAUGAUACGUAGCCGACCUGAGAGGGUGAUCGGCCACAUUGGGACUGAGACACGGCCCAAACUCCUACGGGAGGCAGCAGUAGGGAAUCUUCCGCAAUGGACGAAAGUCUGACGGAGCAACGCCGCGUGAGUGAAGAAGGUUUUCGGAAUCGUAAAACUCUGUUGUCAGAGAAGAACAAGUUGGAGAGUAACUGCUCCAGCCUUGACGGUAUCUGACCAGAAAGCCACGGCUAACUACGUGCCAGCAGCAGC
rnacentral:rRNA from 1 species